GGAGAGAUGACCGAGUGGUCGAAGGUGCACGCCUGGAAAGCGUGUGUGCAGGAAACUGUACCAAGGGUUCGAAUCCCUUUCUCUCCGCCA
rnacentral:tRNA from 1 species